GUGGGAAGGGGGAGAGAAUCUGAAGGGUAAAAGUGAGAAAACUCAUGGGUUGAGAUAAACAGUUUUAAUAGGUGAAGCAAAACAAGAAAUUCAUUCACCACUUCCCAUUGGCAGUCAGGUGUUCAGCCAUCCCCAGGAAAGCAGAGCUCCAUCACACAUGAAGAAAACAAACACCAUGACUUAAAAUGUCUCUCCUUGCUUCUUCUUCCCCCAUCUUUUAUUGCUGAGCAAGAUGCUGUAUGGUAUGGGGUAGCAAUAACUAAAACAUCCCUGCGUUAUCAACACUGUUUCCUGCACAAAUCCAAAACCUAGCCCCAUUCUGGCUACGAUGAAGAAAAUUAACUCUACAUGAGCCAAAACCAGCACAGUCCUAUUUUCUAACUGUUCAAUCAUCCUCAUUGCCCUUCUCUGGACUCUUCCAAACAAUCCAUAAAAUUCUGUAACUGCAGGGGCUGUAAAUGAGCAUGUUACUCCAGCUCAGGCUUUCUCCUUCUGAAGAUGGAAGAGUGCUUUCUUGGAGUGAAGAAGUGCACUGACUAGGAAAAAAAGAAAGACUGUGUGAAGAUACUGUGUGAUCUGCUAUCUCUGGAAAAACAUAUAUGGCUUGAGCCUUGGAUAAAAUUGCCUGUUUGAUCUGGGUGAAGGCUGGAACUGUUCUGUGUUGCCUUUUUGGAUUGGGUGAAUCUGGGCAGC